UUUGAUGCUUAGAGAAGCGGAGGUGUCUGUCUGAGGUCCAGUCAAGGUUCAGCAGCACUGAACAAUAGAAAGUACACUUGUGCAUUGCAUUUUCCUGGAAUUUCUGACUUUAUUGAAGAUGGAACCUUGUUUUUUCCACCAGCGUUGCUGUAUGCUGUGUGCUAUGCAGGCCGCCUUUGGAAUUGGAUGAGCAUUUGAGGUAGCACAAGUGAUGAUGGCUGCAGUGUCCAACACUGGAAUCUGUGCGGAGCAGGUGAUGCAGAGGAACCUGACAACUGCAGGAAUAUCCUGGUUAGCUGACGUGGCUUUUGUUGAGGAUGGAUUCAGACCCCUGGCCCUCUGAAAGCUAAGUUGAGGGACCAGGGACCACUGCCAUACAGUGUGUAAUUUUGACUUCAGUUGAAAGGAGAGUUUCCAAAAUGGAAAUCUUUCUCAUUCAAAGAAGUUGCAUUUUAUGAACUUCCCAUCAGAUUGGAUCUCCAGACAUGAUGUAUUUGGCAGUAGAAGUCAUCAGCAAUAAGAUUUUUCACUCUUUAAAAAAAGAAGUCAAUUUCCUUCCAGAGACCCAAGCACAGCAUGUUUUUCAAUAGUUGAUGGCAUCACUGGUCUUUUGGCUUCUGAGUUGUAAGAGUUGAGAUAUCAUAGAAAUAUGUUCCUCUGUAUGCUUCAGUACAGCCAAAAGCAUUAGCAAAUCCGCCAAUCCUUCUUGGUAGCCUUUAUGCAUUGCAGCACUGGGGAUUUGACCCCCCACCCUCCCAAGUAAAACCGUAUGGGGGAUCUCUUAUCUCACUGAUUUUUCUAUCAUAAAUAAAACUUUAAAAAAAGUUAAACUUGUAAAAUUUACAAACUGACUUGCAUAUAACUAUAACUGCCAAAUAGCUAUAGCAUGUAAUUUAUUAGAUGUACUUAAGCAGUUAGGUAUUUGUUCUAAAUCUUUAAAAAGGGAGGCAACUGAAUAUUACAGGUGUUUUCCCUGAUAUCUUGAUGGAGUGCUCUCAAGUAGUUUAUUUCUCUCUCUCUUUCAAUGGCAUGUUUCCCUGGUAGUUCAGUAGCAUCUCUCUUGGGCAGUGCAGCUGGCCAGAUGUCCCUCCUAAUUAUGUAACACACAAACCCCCUGUAAUCAAAUUAUAACUACGUAUUUUGGAGAUAUAUAAUUUAAUGGUAUCAAUUAACAGCUAUGCAAGUUAAAUUAAUGCAAAAGGAAAAUCAAAUACUUUUAUACUAUAAGUAUUUUUAUUGGAUAUAUAUAAACAUAUGCA